AGAGUUUGAUCCUGGCUCAGAACGAACGCUGGCGGCGUGCUUAACACAUGCAAGUCGAGUGCGCGUGCCGUAGCAAUACGGUAUGGCGCACGGCGCACGGGUGCGUAACACGUGGGCAAUCUGCCCUCCGGUGGGGAAUAACCCCGCGAAAGCGGGGCUAAUUCCGCAUAACAUUCCCUGGACUCUGGUUCGGGGAUUCAAAGCAGCAAUGCGCCGGAGGAGGAGCCCGCGCCCGAUUAGCUAGUUGGUGAGGUGACGGCUCACCAAGGCAAUGAUCGGUAGCUGGUCUGAGAGGAUGGCCAGCCACACUGGAACUGAGACACGGUCCAGACUCCUACGGGAGGCAGCAGUGGGGAAUCUUGCGCAAUGGGCGAAAGCCUGACGCAGCGACGCCGCGUGGGGGAUGAAGCUUCUCGGAGUGUAAACCCCUUUCGACCGGGACGAAUGCCCGCAAGGGAGUGACGGUACCGGUAGAAGAAGCCCCGGCUAACUACGUGCCAGCAGCCGCGGUAAGACGUAGGGGGCCAGCGUUGUUCGGAAUUACUGGGUGUAAAGGGUUCGUAGGCGGUGUGGCAAGUCGGGAGUGAAAUUUCUGGGCUUAACCCAGAAGCUGCUUCCGAAACUGCUGUGCUAGAGUGCGGGAGAGGCGCGUGGAAUUGCAGGUGUAGCGGUGAAAUGCGUAGAUAUCUGCAGGAACACCCGUGGCGAAAGCGGCGCGCUGGACCGUUACUGACGCUGAGGAACGAAAGCUAGGGGAGCAAACAGGAUUAGAUACCCUGGUAGUCCUAGCCCUAAACGAUCAGGACUUGGGGUGCCUUCCGUUCGGAAGUCGUCCCGGAGCUAACGCGUUAAGCCUGCACCUGGGGAGUACGGUCGCAGACUGAACUCAAGGAAUUGACGGGGCCCGCCCAGCGGGGAACUGGGGUCAUUCCACCUU
rnacentral:rRNA from 1 species